CCCGGUGCUCAUGCCGAUUUGGCCACACCUGUUCCCAUUCCGAACACAGUCGUUAAGCAGAUCGGGCCGAUGGUAUUGGCUUUGCUGAGAGAGUAGGUUGGCGCCGGGU
rnacentral:rRNA from 1 species